AAAAAAUUCUGAGAAUUUGAGUCAAGGGACAAAAUUUCGUACAUUUUCUGAUCGUAAUGUUCGACAAGGUGGGUACACUCGAACAGCUGUACCUGGUAAUGCAGGAGUCAAUAGAGAGUUCCGUGUUGUAAGAGACAACAGAGUUAAUCAAAAUACAACUGGAGAGCCAAAGCCUGCCUUGCAGCAAGGUUCAACAUCCCGCAGUGAGCAAGGAAUUGCAAUUGUUGCUGAAAAGGGCAACUUGUCAGGAACUUCAGGCAAUAUAAAGCCCUCUGGCACGCGGAGUUUGACUCAAGCUUCCAAUGGGCUUACUGAUUUUCAAUCUAGACACACCAGAGAUACUACCUUAAAUGUCUCAGACAGGAAAUUAGUACUUGAGGAAAAGCGGACUGUGAUUACUAGUUCAGCUUCACGGGUACAAGUAAUAAAGCCCAAUUCUCAAAAUCAUUCUGCAACACUG
rnacentral:misc_RNA from 1 species